AUCAAACCAUUUAACUAGACAAAUGGUUUCAGUGUAUAACAUCUUGAAACCAAUUAACAAGACUAAUGGUUUCAGUGUAUAACAUCUUGACACUAAUGCUCAUAUAAAACCAUUUAACUAUAAUAAUGGUUUUGGUGUAUAACGUCAUGAAACCAUUUAACUAGACUAAUGGUUUCAGUGCAUAACGGUAUGAAACCAUUUUUGCUGUGGAAUGGUUUCAAAGAGUUGUUCUCCA
rnacentral:lncRNA from 1 species